UACUCGAGUGGCGAAAGGGCGAGGAAUACAUGGGCAACGUGCCUUAUGCACGAGGAUAACUGCGGGAAGCUGCAGUUAAUACUCGAUAAGACCACAGCACCUUCGGGUGCAGGGGUCAAACGGUGGGGACCUUCGGGCCUACCGGCAUUUGAGCGACCCAUGUCCUAUCAGCUUGUUGGUGAGGUAACGGCUCACCAAUGCGACGACGGGUACCGGGACUGAGAGGUUGACCCGGCGCAUCGGGACUGAGACACUGCCCGGACUCCUACGGGAGGCUGCAGUAACGAAUAUUCCGCAAUGGGCGAAAGCCUGGCGGAGCGACGCCGCGUGUGGGAGGAAGCCCUUCGGGGUGUAAACCACUGUCAGGGAUUACCAAGCAAAGUUGGCGAAUAGCCUUCUGCGUUGGGGAGUCCCAGAGGAAGCCACGGCUAACUUCGUGCCAGCAGCCGCGGUAAUACGAAGGUGGCGAGCGUUGUUCGGAAUCACUGGGCUUAAAGGGCACGCAGGCGGACUGUAAAGCGUCUUGUGAAAGCCCCCGGCUUAACCGUGGAAUUGCUAGGCGAACUGGCAGUCUUGAGGCAGGUAAGGGCGAGUGGAACUCUUGGUGGAGCGGUGGAAUGCGUAGAUAUCAAGAGGAACGCCGGAGGCGAAAGCGACUCGCUGGGCCUGACCUGACGCUGAGGUGCGAAAGCCAGGGUAGCGAACGGGAUUAGAUACCCCGGUAGUCCUGGCCAUAAACGAUGUCCACUAGAUCGGUGAACUUCUGACAGUGCGCCGGUCGAAACAAAAGCGUUAAGUGGACCGCCUGGGGAGUACGGUCGCAAGGCUAAAACUCAAAGGAAUUGACGGGGGCUCACACAAGCGGUGGAGCAUGUUGCUUAAUUCGAUGCAACGCGAAGAACCUUAUCCUGGACUUGACAUGUUUGGAUGCCUCCCUGGAAACAGGGUUGGUUGCCCUUCGGGGUGAAACAUUCACAGGUGCUGCAUGGCUGUCGUCAGCUCGUGUCGUGAGAUGUUGGGUUAAGUCCCGUAACGAGCGAAACCCUUGUCGUUAGUUGCCAGCGCGUAAUGGCGGGGACUCUAGCGAGACUGCCGGUGUUAAACCGGAGGAAGGUGGGGAUGACGUCAA
rnacentral:rRNA from 1 species